rnacentral:sRNA from 1 species
GCAGGCUGCUGUCAGCAGUGCAGGAAGCUACUCUUAAGGGGAAACUAAAGUGGCAUUUUCUGAGUUCCCAUUGUGGCUCAGUGAUAGCAAACCCAACUAGUUAGUAUCCAUGAGGAUGCAGGUUCGAUCUCUGGCCUCCCUUAGUGGGUUAAGGAUCUGGCAUUGCUGUGAGCUGUGG